AUUAAAACACCAGUUCUCAUACGAUCACCGAAGUUAAGUAACGUCAAGCCUGAUCAGUACGUAGGAGGGUAACCGCUUGGGAAUAUCAGAUGCUGUAA